GCUGGAGAAGGAAAUGGCAGACCACUUCAGUAUCUUUACCAAGAAAACUCUAAAUGGGGUCUUGGGAGUCAGACCAUCCUGAAAGGACUCCACAACAAUAACAUUUGUUGGGCAUUGUGCUAAGCCCUAAGGAUACGAAAGCCAGCUGAAACAAAGAUAGUCCCUGUCCUCAAGUAGCUUACAUUCUAACGUGGGAAGAUAAUGCAUAAAAGGGAGCAGAGAAGCAAGACGGUUUCAAAGUAUUCUGCCUAUUUCAGAACGGAUUUGGAGUGGUCUGUCUAGUUCUAAAUGCCCCACAUUCUAGGAAGAGCUAUGAGAAGCUAGAGUUCAUCCAAGAGGUGCCACCAUUGGUUGGAGGAACUAGGAGUUUUUAGGCCAGGGAAGAUGAGAGGCUGGGACAUGCUGGGUUGGGGAGCGGGGCUACCAUAUCUGUCUCCAGGAAUCUGAGAGGCUGUCAAGUGCAAGAUUGGACUUGUUCCAUGUGGCCUCAGGGGGCAAAUGGAUGGUAGUUACUGAUGAGGUAGAAAGGAAUGCUCGAGGCAGAUAGAGCAAGCUCGAUACAGGAUGUGAGAUAUGAGAUAAGAUGUGGGAUGUGACCAGCCAGAAAAGUGAUCAAAGAAGACUAUGCAUUGAAGCCCCCCACCUUGGACUUACCUGUGUGCUUUCACAAAGCACCCCCUUAUCUGACAUGCCAGAACAACUCUCCCCCUCCCCCUUUCCUUAUCUUUAUGGAUUCUGGAGCAGCCUCCCUCUUCCCCUUUCUAGUUCUCCUUGCUUAUCUGUAUGACAAGGGCACCUCUGGAUUACCUGAAAUCCCAGGCAUUCUAGAGCUGUGCUUGCCCCUCCCCUCAUUCUCUUGUCCUCCUUCCCCCAUUCCAUAAAAUUGUAUUUAAACCAGACCUUUAACCUGGCCAAUAGCUUCUGCCUUCCACUGGGGAGCAGGGCUGGUUCUGCCCCCCCACAGGGGAGCAGGGCCCGCCAAAGCUGUCCCUCUCACUUGGAGCCCGUUUGGGGCUCUGCCUCAUGGCCCACUUGGGUGCAUUACCCCAAUAAACUCCUUUCUUUAAGUUGGAGACUGAGUGAAUGUGCAUUCUUUCAAGACACUAGAACCCACAUGUCUAUAUUCCACCAUUUCAGGUGGCACCCCAACAUUCUUGGGGUGCACCCUGAACUCAUCAGUUACAAAGGGACAGCUUUGGACUUGAGAUCAGGACAAACUUUCUAAGUGACCUCAUUUGCUCCUAGAAGAGCUUAGUUCCAAAUCACUGAAGGGCUUUGGUGCAGGCUGAAUGUCAACUGUAGGGGCCGCAGGAGAUUCUUGCUUAAGCAACACAUGCCCUCCGUGCUCCCUCCCAGCCCUGAGUUUCUAUGAGUCUUCACAUUGUAGCCUCUAGAGGAAGGAGAUUUCCACACGUUUCCUAUUAUAACUCACUUCCCCUCUGUACCAAGGAAGUGCCCCAAACAGCCUUUGUGGUCAGCACUCUCUCUGGUGCUUUAUUAGGCUCUAGGAGAUGUGAGCUCUCCACAAGAUAAGCACAAGAUGUGUGACUGUGACCUACGGAACAGCUGAAGGAAGAGUGGAUCAAGCCAGGAUACACUAAGGAGAACAGAGAGAGUAAGGAGAGACUGAUUCAGCCACAGGAAUUGAAGGCUGUUGGCCCUAAGCUGCUAUAACUCCUUCGGCAUCCAGUGGUACAAUUUCCAGUGCAAAGAUAUCUGCUUCCAGGAAAGGAGGCUUGCAGGAUGGAGCAAGGGAGGGAACGAGCAAUGAUUAAGCACCUGCUAUGUGCCAGGCGCUGUCCUAAGUCUUUUUAAAAUAUUUCAACAACAACCCUGCAAGUGGCAAAUAGAAUCAAGUGACACUCAUCAAUUGGGAAUGGCUGAACAAAUGACAGUAAACGAAUGUGAUUAGAACAGUACUGUGCUGUAAGAAAUGAACAGAGACAGUUUCAGAGAAACCUGAAAAGACUUACAUGAACUGAAGCAAAGUGCACCAGGAGAAUACAUUAAACUAUAACAAAACUGCAAAAAUAAAAAAUUUUGAAAGA